AUAUUUACUUGGCAGAGGAAAUACCAUGAUCACGAAGGUAAUUUUCCCAGGGUGAGGCUUAUCCAUUGCACUCCAGAUGUGCUGACCCCUGUGAUUUCCCCAAAUGUGGUAGUGGGGGGUUGCGUUUGCACCCCCAG
ensembl:snRNA U1 U1 spliceosomal RNA